rnacentral:tRNA from 1 species
GGCGCAGUAGCUCAGUUGGUAGAGCAACGGAUUGAAGCUCCGUGUGU